AGUGAACGCUGGCGGGAGGCCUAACACAUGCAAGUCGAACGGCAGCACAGUAAGAGCUUGCUCUUACGGGUGGCGAGUGGCGGAAGGGUGAGGAAUACAUCGGAAUUUACUUUUUCGUCGGGGAUAACGUAGGGAAACUUACGCUAAUAACGCAUACGACCUACGGUUGAAAGCAGGGGAUCUUCGGACCUUGCGCGAUUGAAUGAGCCGAUGUAGGAUUAGUUAGUUGGCGGGGUACAGGACCACCAAGGCGACGAUGCGUAGCUGGUGUGAGAGGCCGAUGAGCUCCACUAGAACUGUAACAAGUCCCAGACUCCUACGGGAGGCAGCAGUGGGGAGUAUUGGACAAUGGGAGCAGGCCGGAUCCAGCCAUGCCGCGUGGGUGAAGAAGGCAUUCGGGUUGUAAAGCCCUUUUGUUUGGAUAGAAAAGUAGCAGGUUAAUACCCCGCUGAUCUGACGGUACCCAAAGAAUAAGCACCGGCUAACUUCGUG
rnacentral:rRNA from 1 species